UACAGAGGGGGCAAGCGUUGUUCGGAAUUAUUGGGCGUAAAGCGCACGUAGGCGGCUUAGCAAGUCGGAAGUGAAAGCCCUUGGCUCAACCAAGGAAGUGCUUUCGAAACUGCUGAGCUUGAGUACUUAAGAGGAUCGCGGAAUUCCCGGUGUAGAGGUGAAAUUCGUAGAUAUCAGGAGGAACACCAGUGGCGAAGGCGGCGAUCUGGGCAGAUACUGACGCUGAGGUGCGAAAGCGUGGGGAGCGAACAGG
rnacentral:rRNA from 1 species